rnacentral:rRNA from 1 species
UACGGAGGGGACUAGCGUUGUUCGGAAUUACUGGGCGUAAAGGGCGCGUAGGCGGCCUGCUAAGUCGAACGUGAAAUCCCCGAGCUCAACUCGGGAACUGCGUCCGAUACUGACAGGCUUGAAUCCGGGAGAGGGAUGUGGAAUUCCAGGUGUAGCGGUGAAAUGCGUAGAUAUCUGGAGGAACACCGGUGGCGAAGGCGGCAUCCUGGACCGGUAUUGACGCUGAGGCGCGAAA